rnacentral:misc_RNA from 1 species
GAUGAAGAACGCAGCGAAAUGCGAUAAGUGAUGUGAAUUGCAGAAUUCAGUGAAUCAUCGAAUCUUUGAACGCACAUUGCGCCCCCUGGUAUUCCGGGGGGCAUGCCUGUUCGAGCGUCAUUACAACCCUCAAGCUCUGCUUGGUAUUGGGCCCCGCCAGUUCUGGCGGGCCCUAAAGUCAGUGGCGGUGCCUUCCGGCUCCGAGCGUAGUAAUUCUUCUCGCUCUGGAGACCCGGUUGUGUGCUUGCCAACAACCCCCAAUUUUUUAAGGUUGACCUUGGAUCAGGUAGGGAUACCCGCUGAACUUAAGCAUAUCAAUAAGCGGAGGA